ACAGAACAAAUAAGCAAAUUAUGAAAUAUGACAAAAGAUACAUGCUACUGGGGGGUAGGGAAGCCGAGUAAAAGACACAGGGGACCCAAUCACUAUAAAACACAAGACGGACAGACUGAAGGUCUCACUAAGUAAAUGACAGGAGUGCACCCUUGAAAGAACUGAGGGGAAAGACUCACGUGGCUCCUUGAAUGGCAGGGAAAGAAAGAGGGAAGAUGAGGGGACAAAACCCCUAUUUAUAGCUGGGCAUGGAGGACACAUCUGUAACAUCAGAUGCUCAGGAGAUAGAGGCAGAAAGAUUACAAAGUUGAGGCCAGCCUAAGCAAAGGUGGCCAGAGUCCAUUUCAAAAAUAAAGACAAAAAACAACAGAACAUAUAUAUGU